rnacentral:rRNA from 1 species
UACGUAGGGUGCGAGCGUUAAUCGGAAUUACUGGGCGUAAAGCGUGCGCAGGCGGUUUGUUAAGUCUGAUGUGAAAGCCCCGGGCUCAACCUGGGAACUGCAUUGGAAACUGGCAAGCUCGAGUAUGGCAGAGGGGGGUGGAAUUCCGCGUGUAGCAGUGAAAUGCGUAGAGAUCCGGAGGAACACCGAAAGCGAAGGCAGUCUCCUGGCAAGUUUCUGACGCUCAGGUGCGAAAGCUAGGGGAGCGAACAGG